rnacentral:rRNA from 1 species
GCGUCUAUACAUGCAGUCGAGCGGACAGAUGGGAGCUUGCUCCCUGAUGUUAGCGGCGGACGGGUGAGUAACACGUGGGUAACCUGCCUGUAAGACUGGGAUAACUCCGGGAAACCGGGGCUAAUACCGGAUGGUUGUUUGAACCGCAUGGUUCAGACAUAAAAGGUGGCUUCGGCUACCACUUACAGAUGGACCCGCGGCGCAUUAGCUAGUUGGUGAGGUAACGGCUCACCAAGGCGACGAUGCGUAGCCGACCUGAGAGGGUGAUCGGCCACACUGGGACUGAGACACGGCCCAGACUCCUACGGGAGGCAGCAGUAGGGAAUCUUCCGCAAUGGACGAAAGUCUGACGGAGCAACGCCGCGUGAGUGAUGAAGGUUUUCGGAUCGUAAAGCUCUGUUGUUAGGGAAGAACAAGUGCCGUUCAAAUAGGGCGGCACCUUGACGGUACCUAACCAGAAAGCCACGGCUAACUACGUGCCAGCAGCCGCGGUAAUACGUAGGUGGCAAGCGUUGUCCGGAAUUAUUGGGCGUAAAGGGCUCGCAGGCGGUUUCUUAAGUCUGAUGUGAAAGCCCCCGGCUCAACCGGGGAGGGUCAUUGGAAACUGGGGAACUUGAGUGCAGAAGAGGAGAGUGGAAUUCCACGUGUAGCGGUGAAAUGCGUAGAGAUGUGGAGGAACACCAGUGGCGAAGGCGACUCUCUGGUCUGUAACUGACGCUGAGGAGCGAAAGCGUGGGGAGCGAACAGGAUUAGAUAC